AUCAGAAGAAGAGAAAGAAAGGGGUCAAACCCUAGAACACCAAAAUCUAUCAAAUUGAAAGGGGAAUUGAAGCCUAGUUGAAUGCAUGAACUAAGAAUGGUGAUCAUCUAAGCAUACCCAACAUCAAGAGUCAUGUCAAUAGAGGCACAAAUAUGGAAGCGCUACGGGUCGAAGGUAAACACGGAAGCUAUGUGUAAAUUCGGACGCACGAGUUUAUAAUGUAUGUACGUGGUCUAUUUGUAUGGAAGCUUGUAAUCAGCAUACCUUAGUAAACCUUGGGAUGAUUUAAGUGAUUUAUACGGGUUGUACGUUUGUACGUGGGUACGUAAUCACUUGUGGAAGUUCACGUCUAUGAAUACAUGUGUGUUUGUGCCUGCGUUUGAAGUAGGAUUCAUUGCUUAUGGGCGAACGGAACUUGGGUAUGUAUUCGUACAACUUAAAUAAGUGGAAGCGUUAAGUUACUAAACCGUUGACUUGAGUAUGAAAAGGUGAUUGCAGGUACUCUAUUAAUGUCUUUACCAAGGUUAAGGAAUUGAAGUGCACGAAUGUACAUGGAAAGCAUAUUCGUAAGGAUCAGUAUGGGAAGAAGGAACGCGGACUGGUUAUUGAUCAUGUGUGUUUAGUUUAGGAAUGAUGUCAUUAAAUCUAACCGAUGCACAUGUAUGUGGUGAAUGCAGGUUGCGUGGAUUUAGCAUCAUUAUGAAGGAUAGAAAGAUUGAAGAUCGAGUCAAGAGCAAAGGAUUGUACGGGAAGGAUCGGUCACAUAGUUUAACAAAUGUAGGUCCGAAGUAUUAAUGUAAUUGAACGUGGUAAAUCCUUUUUAAUGAGUGUAUGACAUUUAGUAUUCGAACUUUCCUGUAAGUACUAUGUCUAUUAAAGAACGAA